rnacentral:rRNA from 1 species
GAUGAACGCUGGCGGCGUGCCUAAUACAUGCAAGUCGAGCGAACAGACGAGGAGCUUGCUCCUCUGACGUUAGCGGCGGACGGGUGAGUAACACGUGGAUAACCUACCUAUAAGACUGGGAUAACUUCGGGAAACCGGAGCUAAUACCGGAUAAUAUAUUGAACCGCAUGGUUCAAUAGUGAAAGACGGUUUUGCUGUCACUUAUAGAUGGAUCCGCGCCGUAUUAGCUGGUUGGUAAGGUAACGGCUUAGCAAGGCUACGAUGCGUAGGCGACCGGAGAGGGUGAUCGGCCACCCUGGAGCUGAGACACGGUCCAGACUACUACGGGAGGCAGCAGUAGGGAAUCUUCCGCAAUGGGCGAGAGCUUGACGGAGCAACGCCGCGUGAGUGAUGAAGGUCUUCGGAUCGUAAAACUCUGUUAUUAGGGAAGAACAAAUGUGUAAGUAACUAUGCACGUAUUGACGGUACCUAAUAAGAAAGCCACGGCUAACUACGUG